rnacentral:rRNA from 1 species
GUCCACGCUGUAAACGAUGGAUACUAGGUGUGGGGGGUCUGACCCCCUCCGUGCCGCAGUUAACACAAUAAGUAUCCCACCUGGGGGAGUACGAUCGCAAGGUUGAAACUCAAAGGAAUUGACGGGGGCCCGCACAAGCGGUGGAGUAUGUGGUUUUAAUUCGAAGCAACGCGAAGAACCUUACCAGGGCUUGACAUCCCGAGGCCAGGUGUAGAGAUACACCCUUCUCUUCGGAGACCUCGGUGACAGGUGGUGCAUGGUUGUCGU